CAGGGUUUGAUCCUGGCUCAGAUUGAACGCUGGCGGCAGGCCUAACACAUGCAAGUCGAGCGGAUGAAGGGAGCUUGCUCCUGGAUUCAGCGGCGGACGGGUGAGUAAUGCCUAGGAAUCUGCCUGGUAGUGGGGGAUAACGUCCGGAAACGGGCGCUAAUACCGCAUACGUCCUGAGGGAGAAAGUGGGGGAUCUUCGGACCUCACGCUAUCAGAUGAGCCUAGGUCGGAUUAGCUAGUUGGUGGGGUAAAGGCCUACCAAGGCGACGAUCCGUAACUGGUCUGAGAGGAUGAUCAGUCACACUGGAACUGAGACACGGUCCAGACUCCUACGGGAGGCAGCAGUGGGGAAUAUUGGACAAUGGGCGAAAGCCUGAUCCAGCCAUGCCGCGUGUGUGAAGAAGGUCUUCGGAUUGUAAAGCACUUUAAGUUGGGAGGAAGGGCAGUAAGUUAAUACCUUGCUGUUUUGACGUUACCAACAGAAUAAGCACCGGCUAACUUCGUGCCAGCAGCCGC
rnacentral:rRNA from 1 species